rnacentral:rRNA from 1 species
UACGAAGGGGGCUAGCGUUGCUCGGAAUCACUGGGCGUAAAGGGUGCGUAGGCGGGUCUUUAAGUCAGGGGUGAAAUCCUGGAGCUCAACUCCAGAACUGCCUUUGAUACUGAGGAUCUUGAGUCCGGGAGAGGUGAGUGGAACUGCGAGUGUAGAGGUGAAAUUCGUAGAUAUUCACAAGAACACCAGUGGCGAAGGCGGCUCACUGGCCCGGUACUGACGCUGAGGCACGAAAGCGUGGGGAGCAAACAGG